rnacentral:misc_RNA from 1 species
CAACCCUCAAGCAUUGCUUGGUGUUGGGGCACUGCUUUUAACAAAGCAGGCCCUGAAAUCUAGUGGCGAGCUCGCCAGGACCCCGAGCGCAGUAGUUAAACCCUCGCUCUGGAAGGCCCUGGCGGUGCCCUGCCGUUAAACCCCCAACUUUUGAAA